GGCCGCGGGCCUUGGGGCCUAGGCGAGCCCGAGCCUCAGUUCCCCACGCCUUGCGCCGGGGGAGGAGGCAUGGCCUGACCUCAGCCGCGGGGAUGCCAAGGCUCCACCUACAGCAUGUGGCACGCAGGCCAGAGGUUGGACACCCCCGCCUGAGACUGCUCGGCCAGGCUGCCCACGGAAAGGCACAUCGGUUUGUGCAGCACCAAGUACAACAGCUAUAAACAGUCCUCAGGGAACACAGCAACCCCUUGUAAGCGCAAUAGGAAUUUACCAAUGUUUCCGCUACUAUUUAUUAUCCACCUAGGAAUAGCAAAAGAACUGACGUUUAAGAGUAACAGUUGUGCAAGGCAUAUGCAGUGUUGUGAUAUGAUGAUGCAUUAUAUCUUGCCCUUUCCUUCUUUCAGGCCUUAUAGUAGCAUCCUUCCUUUUCACUCUCCAACCUCUUAAAAACAAAAAUGCCAAAAAAGCCCCCCUCACCUCACAGGAAUAGAUGAUCAGAGAGUGUUAAACUACAAGAAUUUAAACAAAAUCAACGGCAAUAGUGGGAGUCACUCAGGUCAGUUAGACGCAGAAUCUGGAAAUGGAGGAAUAAGUUUCCGACUAUGAAAAUGGAUUAAUGAAGAGCUGUCGUAAAAUGCAAGCGUGAAGGACAAGAGGUAACAUCAAUGAGGUUCUGUGUAGUUAAAGAAGGCGGCACAGAGAACAGUGCUCUCCAGACCUUCAAAUCAAGGAAAAAGACACUUCAGCUUGCCACUUCAUUUGGACUGUAAGGCUUGCCAUGACUGAAAUGUUUCUUCCAUCAUGUAAACUAAAGUCCGGGGGAGAGGUGGGGUGGGAAGGGAAGGAAAUAGAUGAGCAUGCAGGUGAAAAAAAAAA